AGCAUCAACGAUGAUGAGGUGGUUGCUCAUAUACUUAAUGGAUUAGAUUUUGAUUAUCAUCCUUUUGUCUCUGCUAUGAUGGGUCGAUCAGGAGAGCUCUCUCUUUCUGAACUUUAUUCACUUCUCAUGGAAUAUGAUC